rnacentral:lncRNA from 1 species
UUUCUUCUUACUUUGUGAUGUGAUCUGCUGUGACAGCUGGCAAUACCCAAUAUUUUGCUGAUUCCUUAGGAUUUCCAAGCAUCUCAUCAGUAAGUAUGGAGUUUUA